AUUGAACGCUGGCGGCAGGCUUAACACAUGCAAGUCGAGCGGGGUGAUGGUGCUUGCACUAUCACUUAGCGGCGGACGGGUGAGUAAUGCUUAGGAAUCUGCCUGUUAGUGGGGGACAACAUCUCGAAAGGGAUGCUAAUACCGCAUACGUCCUACGGGAGAAAGCAGGGGAUCACUUGUGACCUUGCGCUAAUAGAUGAGCCUAAGUCGUGAUUAGCUAGUUGGUGGGGUAAAGGCCUACCAAGGCGACGAUCUGUAGCGGGUCUGAGAGGAUGAUCCGCCACUGGGACUGAGACACGGCCCAGACUCCUACGGGAGGCAGCAGUGGGGAAUAUUGGACAAUGGGGGGAACCCUGAUCCAGCCAUGCCGCGUGUGUGAAGAAGGCCUUAUGGUUGUAAAGCACUUUAAGUGAGGAGGAGGCUCUUUUGGUUAAUACCCAAGAUGAGUGGACGUUACUCGCAGAAUAAGCACCGGCUAACUCUGUGCCAGCCGCCGCCGUAA
rnacentral:rRNA from 1 species